rnacentral:rRNA from 1 species
UACAGAGGGUGCAAGCGUUAAUCGGAAUUACUGGGCGUAAAGCGCGCGCAGGCGGCCUUUUAAGUCUGAUGUGAAAGCCCACGGCUCAACCGUGGAAGGUCAUUGGAAACUGAAGGGCUUGAGUACAGAAGAGGAAAGCGGAAUUCCACGUGUAGCGGUGAAAUGCGUAGAGAUGUGGAGGAACACCAGUGGCGAAGGCGGCUUUCUGGUCUGUAACUGACGCUGAGGCGCGAAAGCGUGGGGAGCAAACAGG